CAAACGACUCUCGGCAACGGAUAUCUCGGCUCUCGCAUCGAUGAAGAACGUAGCGAAAUGCGAUACUUGGUGUGAAUUGCAGAAUCCCGUGAACCAUCGAGUCUUUGAACGCAAGUUGCGCCCGAAGCCAUCCGGCCAAGGGCACGUCUGCCUGGGCGUCACG
rnacentral:rRNA from 2 species